GCAGGGAUAGCCAAGCGGUCAACGGCACUGGACAUUUUGAGAGUCAAUAUCUCUUAUCCAGAAUCCGUUGACUUUAAACAUGAUGAGAUAUCCAGUCUCAUAGGAGUUCGUGGGUUCGAAUCCCACUCCCUGCA
rnacentral:tRNA from 1 species